AACGAACGCUGGCGGCGUGCCUAACACAUGCAAGUCGAACGGAGAUAAGAAGCUUGCUUCUUAUUUUGGUGGCGCACGGGUGAGUAACGCGUGGAUAAUCUACCUGAUGCUCUGGGAUAACAUCUCGAAAGGGGUGCUAAUACCGGAUAAGCCCACGCUCUCUUCGGAGAAUGCGGGAAAAGGAGGGGACCUUCGGGCCUUCCGACGUCAGAUGAGUCCGCGUCCCAUUAGCUAGUUGGCGGGGUAAUGGCCCACCAAGGCUACGAUGGGUAGCUGGUCUGAGAGGAUGAUCAGCCACACUGGAACUGAGACACGGUCCAGACUCCUACGGGAGGCAGCAGUGGGGAAUUUUGCGCAAUGGGGGAAACCCUGACGCAGCAACGCCGCGUGAGUGAUGAAGGCUUUCGGGUCGUAAAGCUCUGUCAGAAGGGAAGAAAUGUAGGUGGCUAAUAUCCAUUCUACUUGACGGUACCUUCAAAGGAAGCACCAGCUAACUCCGUGCCAGCCGCCGCAGUAAAAC
rnacentral:rRNA from 1 species